UACUAGUGUUGGUUUGCUACUUGAUCCUAAGGCCAAGCCCCCUCGCGUGACGACCACGCUGGCCACCGGGCAAAAUGCGCAUCACCUCUUGCUUGUCUAGAUCAGCCCGGACGUUGGCAUGUGUAGCGUAUUUUGUCGGGUUUCGAGAUCAAGAAUCGAUGUCCCUUUGUUGGUUGGUUUUCCGAGAAUCCUUGACCCUUGAUUUGUUACUUUCGCAUCGUUCGGUGCAUGUUUUCCGAGAAUCCUUGACCCUUGAUUUGUUACUUUCGCAUCAUUUGGUGCAUGUUUUCCGAGAAUCCUUGACCCUUGAUUUGUUGCUUUCGCAUCGUUCGGUGCAUUCUGGGGGAUGUUUUGGCUUUUGGUGGCUUACUUGGCCUUUUGGCUGGGUUUGUUGCUAUUGGUCGAACGGCUUUCGGGAAUGUCGACCGUGGAGGUGCAUGAGUGGUGUUUGGUUUGUUACGUGUGGAUGGCUGUUUCCUUGCGCAACAACGUUCACGCUGCAUACCUCUUCAGUUUUGCGGCAAGGCUUGGUUUGGCUUGUGCAUAUUGUGGGUUUCCUGUGUUGCAUACCUAGUUGAAGGAAAAGUGUGGGUUUUACGAUUUUCAUUUUCGUCUUGCGUCGUUCUUUCGGCAUGGGAUGAGCAAUGAAGCGAUCUUUAUGAUCCAUCGUGCUGUUGUGUUUGCAACAAUGAUGUGGCCUAUGAAGCAUCGUUUGGUCUCUUGUAUACGGAAGCUCAUUUGGGCUUGGGUCUUUAUAAGAUCUUCGUUAUGCCCUUGUUAAGCGUUCUCGCUUCUCCUAAACGAUUG
rnacentral:misc_RNA from 1 species